rnacentral:rRNA from 1 species
ACGAACGCUGGCGGCGUGCUUCACCCCUGCCAGUCGAACGGAAAGGCCCUGCUUUUGUGGGGUGCUCGAGUGGCGAACGGGUGAGUAACACGUGAGUAACCUGCCCUUGACUUUGGGAUAACUUCAGGAAACUGGGGCUAAUACCGGAUAGGAGCUCCUGCUGCAUGGUGGGGGUUGGAAAGUUUCGGCGGUUGGGGAUGGACUCGCGGCUUAUCAGCUUGUUGGUGGGGUAGUGGCUUACCAAGGCUUUGACGGGUAGCCGGCCUGAGAGGGUGACCGGCCACAGUGGGACUGGGAUACGGCCCAGACUCCUACGGGAGGCAGCGGUGGGAAUAUUGCACAAUGGGCGGAAGCCUGAUGCAGCAACGCCGCGUGCGGGAUGACGGCCUUCGGGUUGUAAACCGCUUUCGCCUGUGACGAAGCGUGAGUGACGGUAAUGGGUAAAGAAGCACCGGCUAACUACGUG